CCUACGGGUGGCAGCAGUGGGGAAUAUUGCGCAAUGGGCGAAAGCCUGACGCAGCGACGCCGCGUGAGGGAUGAAGGUCCUCGGAUCGUAAACCUCUGUCAGCAGGGAAGAACGGUCACUGUGCUAUUCAGCAGUGAAUUUACGCUACCUGCAAAGGAAGCACCGGCUAACUCCGUGCCAGCAGCCGCGGGAAUACGGAGGGUGUGUGCGGUAAUCGGUAUUACUGGGCGGAAAGCGCUCGUAGGCGGUAUGUCAAGUCAAGGGUGAAAUCCCCGCGCUCAACGUGUGAACUGCCUUUGAAACUGGCAAACUGGAGUGUGUGAGAGGAUAGUGGAAUUCGAGGUGUAGGGGUGAAAU
rnacentral:rRNA from 1 species